CGACAACAACAAGGUAGCAGCACAACACGACAACAACAUGGUAGCAGCACAACAUGACGACAACAACAAGGUAGCAGGACAACACGACAACAACAAGGUAGCAACACAACACGACAACAACAAGGUAGCAGCACAACACGACAACAACAUGGUAGCAGCACAACACGACAACAACAUGGUAGCAGCACAACACGACAACAACAUGGUAGCAACACAUCACGACGUUGUAGCAGCACAACACGACAACAACAUGGUAGCAACACAUCACGACACAACGUUGUAGCAGCACAACACUACAACAACAUGGUAGCAGCACAACACGACAACAACAUGGUAGCAGCACAACACGACAACAACAUGGUAGCAGCACAACACGACAACAACAAGGUAGAAGCACAAACCAUGGUACAAACAUUAUCAGGCAGAGACAACAGUACAAAGGGCAAGAAGCCACAACUAUCAGUAAGAGUGUCCAUGAUUGAGUCUUUGAACGAAGAGAUGGCUAGACAGUGUACCAUGUGAUUACCUCCAGCUCUAAACUCUCAGAGGUAGUAAUCACCCCUGUGGGGAGAGGGGCAUUCUUCUUACCAGACCACAUGACCUUUGUUUUGGAGGUGUUCAGAACAAGGUUAAGGGCAGAGAAAGCUUGUUGAACACAGAGAGCAGUGUUGUAGAGGUGUAUAACACAGCAUCUGGGGGACACAGAGAGCAGUGUUGUAGAGGUGUAUAACACAGCAUCUGGGGGACACAGAGAGCAGUGUUGUAGAGGUGUAUAACACAGCAUCUGGGGGACACAGAGAGCAGUGUUGUAGAGGUGUAUAACACAGCAUCUGGGGGACACAGAGAGCAGUGUUGUAGAGGUGUAUAACACAGCAUCUGUGGGACACAGAGAGCAGUGUUGUAGAGGUGUAUAACACAGCAUCUGGGGGAAUGGUAUUUCAAUUGAUUGAUUUCCUUCUAUGAACUCUAACUCAGUAAAAUCAGUAAAAAUUGGUUUUAUAUUUUUGUUCAGUGUACGUACUUAAACAGCAGACUCAUUUCAGCGUUUGAUCUAGUAAAAUUCCCAAUAUCCC
ensembl:lncRNA